rnacentral:rRNA from 1 species
GACGAACGCUGGCGGCGUGCUUAACACAUGCAAGUCGAACGGUAAGGCCCUUCGGGGUACACGAGUGGCGAACGGGUGAGUAACACGUGGGUGAUCUGCCCUGCACUUCGGGAUAAGCCUGGGAAACUGGGUCUAAUACCGGAUAGGACUCCGGACUGCAUGGUCUGGGGUGGAAAGCUUUUGCGGUGUGGGAUGGGCCCGCGGCCUAUCAGCAUGUUGGUGGGGUGAUGGCCUACCAAGGCGACGACGGGUAGCCGGCCUGAGAGGGUGACCGGCCACACUGGGACUGGGAUACGGCCCAGACUCCUACGGGAGGCAGCAGUGGGGAAUAUUGCACAAUGGGCGCAAGCCUGAUGCAGCGACGCCGCGUGAGGGAUGACGGCCUUCGGGUCGUAAACCUCUUUCAGCAUCGACGAAGCGAAAGUGACGGUAGGUGCAGAAGAAGGACCGGCCAACUACGUGCCAGCCGCCGCAGUAA